CGCCAGCCCACACGGGCCUCCACCCCAACCUACCUACAUGCGGCAUCCCCCAGCAGUCCAACGCCUGCAACAGCGCUACUCCCUACCGGCAUCCAGCGCACGUCCUCGCAGGCCAGACCGUUCCACAGUCCACGUAGACCUCGCUGCAGACCCACGCCCAGCAGCUCAUCCCAGCACCGAUCCGGAGAUCCCUGUAGCACCAGACCACAGUGCCUAGCCCAGCACGUACCGCCCUCCCAGUGCCCUGGCCCAGCAAGCACAGCCUUCCCCGCAGCCUGCACGCCCAGCCCCGUGCACCAAUAGCAGCAUCCCCGUGCCCACCUCACCGACCUCCAUCUAGAUCUGGCGGCCUUCCCACUCGAUCCCAGCCCACCGGGCCGAGCAUCGCAGCAUCCAGCCUCCUGCCUCCUGCCCCCGCGCGUCUGUGGCAGCCCCUAGUGCCUUGCAGCAGCUACCCACCCUCGCAGCAACCCGCUUGCAGUAGCCCCACGCCUCCACCAUACCUGCAAACCCGCAAGUAGCAACUCACCG
rnacentral:lncRNA from 1 species